rnacentral:rRNA from 1 species
ACGUAGGGGGCAAGCGUUAUCCGGAUUUACUGGGUGUAAAGGGAGCGUAGACGGUUUUGCAAGUCUGAAGUGAAAGCCCGGGGCUUAACCCCGGGACUGCUUUGGAAACUGUAGAACUAGAGUGCAGGAGAGGUAAGUGGAAUUCCUAGUGUAGCGGUGAAAUGCGUAGAUAUUAGGAGGAACACCAGUGGCGAAGGCGGCUUACUGGACUGUAACUGACGUUGAGGCUCGAAAGCGUGGGGAGCAAACAG